CCAGCCACACACGCAUGCGAAAGUUGCUCUCAGAAAAUCUCUCUCUCUCUCUCUCUCUCUUUCCCACACACGCACACACUGAAGAGGAAACGAAGAUGACAAGGGGAAAACAAAAGAUUGAAGCACAGAAAAGGAAAGCAGAGAGGAAUCAGAAGCCAAAAGGGUCUCAGCUCGAGGCCCGUGCUGUUGCCCUCAAAGUCGUCUGCCCCAUCUGUAAAGUGCAGCUAGCAAAUGAAAAUCAGCUUAAUGAUCAUUAUGGCUCUAAGCAUCCAAAAGAAAAACCUCCAAGCAACUCAGGAUAGCAGUCCACUUUUUGGAAAUGAUGCCUUCUGGUUUUUGUCAAAGUUUAAGCAUGUAACUUUGUUCUGUUACCCGAAUCAUGUUAAUAAAGUGAAUGCAUUUUGGUCUGUAAGAUAGAACUGUUGAUCUUGUGUACGCUAGAAUCUGGAAACAAAUCCAACCCCUCUUUAUCCUUGUUAUGCCCCCUUCCUCCCCUUUUC